UACGAAGGGGGCUAGCGUUGCUCGGAAUUACUGGGCGUACAGGGCGCGUAGGCGGAUGUCUAAGUCAGGGGUAAAAGCCCAGGGCUCAACCUUGGAACUGCCUUUGAUACUGGACAUCUUGAGUACGGGAGAGGUGAGUGGAACUCCGAGUGUAGAGGUGAAAUGCGUAGAUAUGCGGAAGAACACCAGUGGCGAAGGCGACUCACUGGCCCGUUACUGACGCUGGGGCGCGAAAGCGUGGGGAGCAAACAGG
rnacentral:rRNA from 1 species